CGACGGCUUCCGGUUGUUGUGGCGACGGCUUCCGGUUGUUAUGGAGACGGCCUCUUGUUUACAGGCCCUUAGGAGGGCGACAGGUGGAUGGUCAUCUUCCUUCAUUUUAAAAACAAUUUUAAAAAAUAAAAUAAAAUAAAAAAAAUACCAAAAAAACUAUUAAAAUUAAAUAAAAUCGCUAGAAAAAAAAUAUAAAAAUAAAUAAAUAAAUGUUAAAAAAUGAAAAAAAUCUAUACCACAACUCUAUAGAGGACGAAGACGAUGCUGAAACUCUGGGAACCAUGUUCUGAUCUGGAGUGGGGUCGGUCAGUGUCCUGACUGUAGAUCUGGUGUAGGUCGGUCAGUGUCCUGACUAGAUCUGGUGUGGGGUCGGUCAGUGUCCUGACUAGAUCUGGUGUGGGGUCGGUCAGUGUCCUGACUGUAGAUCUGGUGUGGGGUCGGUCAGUGUCCUGACUGUAGAUCUGGUGUAGGUCGGUCAGUGUCCUGACUAGAUCUGGUGUAGGUCGGUCAGUGUCCUGACUGUAGAUCUGGUGUGGGGUCGGUCAGUGUCCUGACUAGAUCUGGUGUAGGUCGGUCAGUGUCCUGACUGUAGAUCUGGUGUGGGGUCGGUCAGUGUCCUGACUGUAGAUCUGGUGUAGGUCGGUCAGUGUCCUGACUAGAUCUGGUGUGGGGUCGGUCAGUGUCCUGACUGUAGAUCUGGUGUGGGGUCGGUCAGUGUCCUGACUGUAGAUCUGGUGUGGGGUCGGUCAGUGUCCUGACUAGAUCUGGUGUGGGGUCGGUCAUGUCCUGACCCGUAGAUCUGGUGUGGGGUCGGUCAGUGUCCUGACCCGUGGUUCUGGUGUGGUUCUGGUUAGACCUGAAAUGGAGCCAGUGUCUCCCCAGAUUCUCUCCUUGUCGGAUGCAUCCAUCUUCUAGCACUGAAACGACUUCUGGUUGUGUGAGUUAGUUUGUACCUGCUUGGAAGAGCUCAGCGGUUUCACCCCCCCCCAAAAAUGCUGUCUUACGAAAAGGUAGAGAAAUCGGCGUGCUUCCUCCUCCUCCUCGCCACUGUCCUCCCAGUGUGUGUGUGUGUGUGUGUGUGUGUGUGUGUGUGUGUGUGUGUGUGUGUGUGUGUGUGUGUGACGUCAGUGGGACUGAACCAUAAAGCUGAUCCCUGUAUCUAUGCAUAUUGUAGCCAAUCACAAGGACUACAGACACGGGGAGGAGGGGCUUAAUUCUGUCUGUGUCACAACGUCAAAAUGUUUUAAAAUUAAUAAUGUGAUGAUGAUCUCUCU
ensembl:lncRNA